UACAGAGGGGGCAAGCGUUGUUCGGAAUUACUGGGCGUAAAGGGCGCGUAGGCGGCCUUCUAAGUCGAACGUGAAAUCCCCGGGCUCAACCCGGGAACUGCGUCCGAUACUGAAAGGCUUGAAUCCGGGAGAGGGAUGCGGAAUUCCAGGUGUAGCGGUGAAAUGCGUAGAUAUCUGGAGGAACACCGGUGGCGAAGGCGGCAUCCUGGACCGGCAUUGACGCUGAGGCGCGAAAGCCAGG
rnacentral:rRNA from 1 species